UCCUGACAUGGGGCUGCAGCCAGGUGGGGUUGGGCUCCUGGGAUUCCCAUGCGCGUGGACGGUGGGUCAGAUGCUGUAGCCGCCAUCUGAAGCCGACGUGUGAAACUUCAGCUUCUUAGCAAGCUGAAUUUUUCUUCUGAGGAGGCAAGAAUUGAGAUUGCUGCAGAUCCGCGUGCAUUUGCUGUCGCUCGCAGACCUGGAGGAUACUACCCUGGCGAUGGGACGCAGAGAGCUGGACCAGGCUGCUGGCUGUGCGGGCAGGGGAGGAGAGAGAGCGGGGAGAGGGCUGUGGACGGCGCUGCACCCUCUCUCUGCGUUUCUGGGGCUGGUCUCUAACUGAGCUCAAACUCCCCAUCCUAAUGCAGCCCUGCAGGCCGGCGGGAGGGCGCCGGAGACCUGACCCAGAGGAGGGAGACCAGGCUGUAUCUCCAGCUGCAUCUGCAUCGGCCCCACCGUGUCUUCCUCUGGGAGCUGCGGCUCCUCGGGUCGGCUGUGAUGCAACGUGGGCAGGGGCGGGGGCUGGGGGUUGCAUUGGGUAAUGCCUGCGGCUACCGCUGUCUCCUUCAUCUCUGUCUGCAGCUCUGUGUCCAGCAGGGCCAAGAAGGGCAUUGGGUGAGGCUGAGAGCAGCCAGGGGGGUCUCCACAGGGGAACCGGCACCGGGACAGUCACCUCCAGCAGCAUCCUGAUGUUCUGGGGACACUGGUGCUGGGGGGUCAGUGGGGAAGGGCUCCUGGGUCCUCAUGACCCUCUCCCUUGGGUGAGCACAAAACACCAUGGCACUUUGGGGUCUUGGAAACAGACUAAAGGGGAUGUCAAGUCCUCAUUCCUUG
ensembl:lncRNA novel transcript